rnacentral:rRNA from 1 species
GACGAACGCUGGCGGCGUGCUUAACACAUGCAAGUCGAACGGAAAGGCCCUGCUUUUGUGGGGUGCUCGAGUGGCGAACGGGUGAGUAACACGUGAGUAUCCUGCCCUUGACUUUGGGAUAACUUCAGGAAACUGGGGCUAAUACCGGAUAGGAGCUCCUGCUGCAUGGUGGGGGUUGGAAAGUUGCGGCGGGUGGGGAUGGACUCGGGGCUUAUCAGCUUGUUGGUGGGGUAGUGGCUUACCAAGGCAUUGACGGGUAGUCGGCCUGAGAGGGUGACCGGCGACAUUGGUACUGAGGGACGGACCAGACGCCUACGGGAGGCAGCGGUGGGGAAUAUUGCACAAUGGGCGGAAGCCUGAUGCAGCGACGCCGCGUGUGUGAUGACGGCCUUCUGGUUAUAAACCGCUUUCGCCUGAGACGAAGCGUGAGUGACGGUAAUGGAUAAAGAAGCACCGGCUAACUACGUG